GGAUGUGAGGGUGAUCUGGCUGGGACACCUGUCAUCCCAUUAAUCACCAGGGUUGAUUUGGCUGCUCUGGCUGGCUGGGCAGUUGUCUUCUUCCUAAUCCUCCACUCCAUGCCUGCCCCUCCUGGGACGGUGUCCUUGGUAGAAAAGGGCAACCAUCCGAGAUAGAAGGAAUACGCUGUGCUUUGGCUAAGAGUGUGCUGUAGCUGCACUUCCCUGCUAGAACCCCCCAAGCAAACUGCAACAUCUAUAUACCUUUCUUCAAAAACACCCCAUGGGAGUUUAUAGUCA
rnacentral:sRNA from 1 species